UAUAAGGCUAUAGCUAGCAUUUUUGUUAACGAAAUAGCUUUUGAAAAUUUACAUAUACCCAUAUAAACCCAAAAACCAUUUAUGGUUUAUACAUAUAACCAUAGAUAAGAGCUUUUCAAUCGGGAUUUUAAAAGGAGAAGUAAUAUUAAAUACAAUUGAUUACUUUUUAUAAGCGUAAAUUCAUUUUACUAUUUUAUAAAAUUUUUCAAACGAAAAAAGGAGAAGGCGAGAGAGAGAAUUGGGGAGGCAAUAAGUUUAGCGGCGACGACCUUCCCAGAACUUCCAGCUUCCACAUGUGCCUGUCAGAAAGGAAACCCAAUCACAUAAAUCAAAGAAAACAAUAAAAAAAAUGGGUAAAGAA